UUACGGCCAUAUCACGUUGAAACAUCGGUUCCCGUACAAUUACCGAAUUUAAGCAACGUCGAGCCUGGUCAGUACCUAGAUGGGUGACUACUUGGGAAUAUCAGGUGCUGUCA